UGGGGAAUAUUGGGCAAUGGGCGAAAGCCUGACCCAGCAACGCCGCGUGAGUGAUGAAGGCCUUCGGGUUGUAAAACUCUUUGGACAGGGACGAAGAAAGUGACGGUACCUGUAGAACAAGCCACGGCUAACUACGUGCCAGCAGCCGCGGUAAUACGUAGGUGGCGAGCGUUAUCCGGAUUUACUGGGCGUAAAGGGCGUGUAGGCGGCUAGAUAAGUGUGAUGUUUAAAUCCAAGGCUUAACCUUGGGGUUCAUUACAAACUGUUUAGCUUGAGUGCUGGACAGGAUAGUGGAAUUCCUAGUGUAGCGGUAAAAUGCGCAGAUAUUUGGAAGAACACCGGUGGCGAAGGCGGCCUUCUGGGCCACGACUGACGCUGAGGCGCGAAAGCUAGGGGAGCGAACAGG
rnacentral:rRNA from 1 species